rnacentral:lncRNA from 1 species
UGACAGGAGCCCUCCCAUAUGCCUGGACAAGACGCAGAGGGCAGGGCCUCAGGCCACUGCUCUGGCUCCCCUCUGAACCAGCAGAGAAAGGAAUUCUUAGGGCCUCCCUUUGUCAAGGCAUCAGGUUUUUCUCAUUUAACCAAUGGCUGUUAUCCCUGCUGUCAGCUGUUAGCAUAUAAAAUUAGUAUGUUGGAUGUUUAUUUUUUUGAUCCCACAGUUCACGCAUCAGUAAAGAUGUUUUCAGUGGCCAGAAACAGAACUUCUAUUCAGUUGGCUUAGACAAUAAAGAAAGUGUAUUCUGUCACAGAACAAGAAGUCCAGGGGAAGGCUAGCUUCAGCAGAGGUUAAUCCUGCAGCUCAACAUCAUCAUCAAGGACCCAGGUUUAUUCUCUGCUUGUGGCGUUGUCCUUGGCUAGCUUGCUUCAUGGUCACAAGAUGGCUGCUGCCACCCCAGACAUCACAUUGUCACAAAACAAUGUCCAUAGCAAGCAAAACAAAAAACAUACACAAAAAAUACCCCAGGAAACAUCUCAUCCUUGUGUCCCAUUUUAAGACCAAAGAAAGUUUUUCCCAGAAGUCCUCAGAAGACUGUCUCACACUGCUCAUUGGCUAGAAUUGAGCCACAUCCCAUGCCUGAAUCUAUCCCAAGCAAGGGGGAUACUGCCACUAUUACUGCCCUGAGCCCAGAAGGAGAAGGAAAAACACCUGGAACAAACCCAGUCUCAGCAGGGUUCUUCGUUGAAAGCAACAGAAAGCUCACGGACUCCUCGGGCUGGCUGGAGAGCUAAGCUCAGGAACCAGGGAGGACCAGACAGCAGCCAGAACCCCUGCCAAAUCACACCUCAGGGCUAGAGCAGGGAGGACAACAGUGAAACUGGCCCUGAGGCUCCUCUGGCCCUGGAAACCUCCUGGGGCAGCUGCCGCCAAUUCUGUCAGAUAGAUCCCAUCACCACGUCUUUGUAUCACCUGCUAAGAUUCAGAGUUCCUGGGAGUGCAUCUGAUUGGCUGAGCCAGAUCAUAUGCCUGCCCUACAGCUGCAAAGGAGACUGGGAAAGUGAGGUCGGGUUUUCAUGGUGGGAGAAGGGCUCUGCUUGCCCAUGACUUGCAAGGUAGGGGAUGCAGGAGAGCCACAGAAAGAGUAAAGGGGCACUCUGCUGGGUGAGAGGCCAUGGGCUCCCCGAGAGGCAGGGCUGUGGCUGUUUAUCCCAUGCCCCACCCCCAGUGUUGGGAGCAGGUAUGCUCUCAACAGGCUUCAGGAAAGUGUCCAGUGAUCUGACUCACCUGGACUCGGAGAACCGUGGUGCCGGAGGGACCACCUUGGGAUUCCUGCAAAAGAGGUUUGAGGACAAAUGUAGAACUGCCGCUUUUUAUUUUGUCCAGUAAGACUAUCAAAAGCAAACAAUAAAUAAACCACUUUCUACCCUCACCAUUUCAUAAAAGAGGGGACAUCUUAAACACCAAUAAAACUAAAAGGACCAGGGAGAGCAUGAUUUUAGAAUCGAGCACAAUCCUUCAAGCUAAAUACACGUUAGCUUUAAGAAAAUCUCUCUGUCGUCCGGAUGUUUCUACUUUCGCUGGAAACCUAUGAAAAGGUCAUGACACAACUGACUUUGAACAUGGACUGUGGACUAGAUAAUGGUGUUGUAUCAGUGAUCAGCUCUGAGCUAACAUCUGCUGCCAAUCCUCGUCUUUUUGCUGAGGAAGACUGGCCCUGACCUCACAUCCAUGCCCAUCUUCCUCUACUUUAUACGUGGGACGCCUACCACAGCAUGGCUUGAUGAGCGGUGCCAUGUCCGCAGCCGGGAUCUGAACCGGCAAACCCUGGGCCGCCGAAGCGGAACGUGCGCAAUUAAACACUGUGCCACCGGGCCAGCCCCUACUCAUCUCUUAGGUGGGGAAACUGAGAGGUUCUGGGACUUGCCCAAGAUCAUACUGCAAGUUCCAGACUCUGUAGUGGGGGACAGAGUAAUUGGUCAGAUUUGGCUAAGUCACCUCAAGUCCAAGUUAGGAACAUAGGAAGGGAGGGGCCUUAGGAAUUAGAGGGGAAAAGGGAAGGGAAGCCUGCAGUGUUCAGAUUGGGAAAUUCCCCUUCCCUUCCCCUUCUCACUCUCAAUGUAGCUUCUGUUCCCCUGAGCUUGAAAGAAGAAACAGUGUUUUGCAGGUGCACCAUGUUCUACAACUUAAUGAGGCAUCGCUCACAUGCCAGUCUAUGAAAAUGGCACCUCUUGGAGUUGUGCAGUGGACAGCCUGCACAGCUAUACAUGGCAACCCUGAGAGAGUCAUUCAUUAUUGUUGUUGUUGGGUAGUGGGGAGGUGUUUGGGGAAGGGACAGGAGUGACUAACACUGUGGCCUAGAUUAACCAGUGACUGAUUCCAUCCAUUUAGUCAACCACUAUUUAUUGCCACAGAUUAUAUGCCAGGCAUCAUGCUGGGACUGGGACUUUCCGGGCUUGAAAUAGAUGUCACUCUAAGGAGGAGCUGGGAGUGGGGACAGAGGUGGAAAGGCAGCCUUCCCAAGACAGAAACCCACAAACCUUCCCCCACCACUCCUUCCCCUCUGCCCAGCCUUCUCAUGGUUUAGGCCCUCCUGGAGCAAGUUUCCAGGAUCCUCCCCUCCCCUCCUCCCACAGUCAGUGGACUGUCAGCCUUUCUGCCUU